GGUCAAGUGAAGAAGCGCAUACGGUGGAUGCCUUGGCAGUCAGAGGCGAUGAAAGACGUGGUAGCCUGCGAAAAGCUUCGGGGAGUCGGCAAACAGACUGUGAUCCGGAGAUGUCUGAAUGGGGGAACCCAGCCAUCAUAAGAUGGUUAUCUUACACUGAAUACAUAGGUGUAAGAGGCGAACCAGGGGAACUGAAACAUCUAAGUACCCUGAGGAAAAGAAAUCAACCGAGAUUCCCUUAGUAGUGGCGAGCGAACGGGGACCAGCCCUUAAGUUGUAUUGAGAUUAGCGGAACGCUCUGGAAAGGGCGGCCAUAGCGGGUGAUAGCCCUGUACGCGAAAAUCCCUUUGCAAUGAAAUCGAGUAGGACGGGGCACGAGAAACCUUGUCUGAAUAUGGGGGGACCAUCCUCCAAGGCUAAAUACUACUGACUGACCGAUAGUGAACCAGUACCGUGAGGGAAAGGCGAAAAGAACCGCGGAGAGCGGAGUGAAAUAGAUCCUGAAACCGUAUGCGUACAAGCAGUGGGAGCCCACUUUGUUGGGUGACUGCGUACCUUUUGUAUAAUGGGUCAGCGACUUAUUUUCAGUGGCGAGCUUAACCGAAUAGGGGAGGCGUAGCGAAAGCGAGUCUUAAUAGGGCGUCUAGUCGCUGGGAAUAGACCCGAAACCGGGCGAUCUAUCCAUGGGCAGGUUGAAGGUUGGGUAACACUAACUGGAGGACCGAACCGACUACCGUUGAAAAGUUAGCGGAUGACCUGUGGAUCGGAGUGAAAGGCUAAUCAAGCUCGGAGAUAGCUGGUUCUCCUCGAAAGCUAUUUAGGUAGCGCCUCAUGUAUCACUGUAGGGGGUAGAGCACUGUUUCGGCUAGGGGGUCAUCCCGACUUACCAAACCGAUGCAAACUCCGAAUACCUACAAGUGCCGAGCAUGGGAGACACACGGCGGGUGCUAACGUCCGUCGUGAAAAGGGAAACAACCCAGACCGUCAGCUAAGGUCCCAAAGUCAUGGUUAAGUGGGAAACGAUGUGGGAAGGCUUAGACAGCUAGGAGGUUGGCUUAGAAGCAGCCACCCUUUAAAGAAAGCGUAAUAGCUCACUAGUCGAGUCGGCCUGCGCGGAAGAUGUAACGGGGCUCAAACCAUGCACCGAAGCUACGGGUAUCAUCUUUUGAUGAUGCGGUAGAGGAGCGUUCUGUAAGCCUGUGAAGGUGAGUUGAGAAGCUUGCUGGAGGUAUCAGAAGUGCGAAUGCUGACAUGAGUAACGACAAUGGGUGUGAAAAACACCCACGCCGAAAGACCAAGGUUUCCUGCGCAACGUUAAUCGACGCAGGGUUAGUCGGUCCCUAAGGCGAGGCUGAAAAGCGUAGUCGAUGGAAAACAGGUUAAUAUUCCUGUACUUCUGGUUAUUGCGAUGGAGGGACGGAGAAGGCUAGGCCAGCCUGGCGUUGGUAGUCCAGGUUUAAGGUGGUAGGCUGAGAUCUUAGGUAAAUCCGGGAUCUUAAGGCCGAGAGCUGAUGACGAGUGUUCUUUUAGAACAUGAAGUGGUUGAUGCCAUGCUUCCAAGAAAAGCUUCUAAGCUUCAGGUAACCAGGAACCGUACCCCAAACCGACACAGGUGGUUGGGUAGAGAAUACCAAGGCGCUUGAGAGAACUCGGGUGAAGGAACUAGGCAAAAUGGCACCGUAACUUCGGGAGAAGGUGCGCCGGUGAGGGUGAAGCAUUUACUGCGUAAGCCCACGCCGGUCGAAGAUACCAGGCCGCUGCGACUGUUUAUUAAAAACACAGCACUCUGCAAACACGAAAGUGGACGUAUAGGGUGUGACGCCUGCCCGGUGCCGGAAGGUUAAUUGAUGGGGUUAGCGCAAGCGAAGCUCUUGAUCGAAGCCCCGGUAAACGGCGGCCGUAACUAUAACGGUCCUAAGGUAGCGAAAUUCCUUGUCGGGUAAGUUCCGACCUGCACGAAUGGCGUAACGAUGGCGGCGCUGUCUCCACCCGAGACUCAGUG
rnacentral:rRNA from 1 species